GAAGGGGGCGAGCGUUGUUCGGAUUUACUGGGCGUAAAGGGCGCGCAGGCGGCUAUUUUUGUCAGGCGUGAAAGCCCCGGGCUUAACCUGGGAACUGCGCUUGAGACGGGAUGGCUAGAGAUCGGGAGAGGAGAGUGGAAUUCCCAGUGUAGAGGUGAAAUUCGUAGAUAUUGGGAAGAACACCGGUGGCGAAGGCGGCUCUCUGGACCGAUACUGACGCUGAGGCGCGAAAGCGUGGGGAGCAAACAGGAUUAGAUACCCUGGUAGUCCACGCUGUAAACGAUGUGUGCUAGACGUUGGGGAGCCUAACUCUUCGGUGUCGCAGCUAACGCUUUAAGCACACCGCCUGGGGAGUACGGCCGCAAGGUUA
rnacentral:rRNA from 1 species